UUCAAAACGAGACAGCUUUCAUUUCACUCCUAUAAAACUCGUACGUUGACAUAGAUCUCUGGCUGAAAAAUAAAGCUUCCUCUUAGUUAAAAAAGAGAGAGAGAGAGAGAGAGCCAGAGGUAAGAAAAUAUGCACGCAAGAAUAUGUGAACAAGAUGAUGAUUUCUAAAACAUAUUGGAAUGUUUGCAGCUCCUGGGGUUCAGCUUUGGAUUUGGCCCCGCCUCUACAUCUCCAGACUUUUCCGCAGACUCCCUCCCGGCUAGCUGUGGCGCACUAGCCCCCUUCAGGCUGUGCUCACACAGCCAACCCCAGUCCUCUCCCUGGGGUCUGACCUCCGAAGCCCAAGCCUCAGCUACCAGCCCCCA